GACUAAAUUUGUGGCACUUAACGACAUGUGUUUUUGCAUUGUCAGUUACUACUAUCAAAAGAUUAUAAAUUCCUGUCUUUAAGCUUGAGAGAUUCCACUUGUUUGUAGUAAGCACCCCUCUCUUUUUGCAUAUCAACUGGUUAAUAAGUAUGCUGGUUAUCACUCUUUGCUGCAGCACCACAUCACUGUCACAUGGAGAAACAAGCGCGGUGAUCCUCCGCCUGCUCUAAACACCAGAGGGAUAAGCAUUUGGAGGAUUGAAUAAGCCAGCUGCCGGAUGGAAUUCUUGCGCACAUUUUAUCUCUCCUGAAACUUAGAGAAGCAGGAAGAAGCAGUGUGCUUUCACAUAGAUGGAGGGAUUUGUGGAAAUUCACCACCAAUUUGAUCUUUGAUGAAUCAAAAGAGAGAAUGUUGGAACUGCUUGGCUGUGGGGAUGGGGAUAUGGUAGGGCGAGAAAGGUCAAAGUUCUUGGCUUGGGUGAAUCAAGUUUUGAAGUUGCAUUUGGGUCCUUCUUUGGACAAGUUUAGAGUUAGUUUUUACUUGGAUAGCAGGGAUAGCUGCUAUAUUGAUGAAUGGAUAAACUUUGUGAUACCAAAGAGUGUAAAAGUACUUGAGAUUGACUUGCGUCCCAUAGCUGGCACACGCUAUGCGCCUUCGCAUGAGUGUUAUCUCAGCUUGAAAUGCCCAUCUAACUUAUCCAGCAUUAAGUGCCUAACAAGCCUUUCGUUUACGAGG